rnacentral:rRNA from 1 species
UGUGCCAGCAGCGGCGGUAAUACAGAGGGUGCGAGCGUUAAUCGGAUUUACUGGGCGUAAAGCGUGCGUAGGCGGCUUAUUAAGUCGGAUGUGAAAUCCCCGAGCUUAACUUGGGAAUUGCAUUCGAUACUGGUGAGCUAGAGUAUGGGAGAGGAUGGUAGAAUUCCAGGUGUAGCGGUGAAAUGCGUAGAGAUCUGGAGGAAUACCGAUGGCGAAGGCAGCCAUCUGGCCUAAUACUGACGCUGAGGUACGAAAGCAUGGGGAGCAAACAGGAUUAGAUACCCUGGUAGUCCAUGCCGUAAACGAUGUCUACUAGCCGUUGGGGCCUUUGAGGCUUUAGUGGCGCAGCUAACGCGAUAAGUAGACCGCCUGGGGAGUACGGUCGCAAGACUAAAACUCAAAUGAAUUGACGGGGGCCCGCACAAGCGGUGGAGCAUGUGGUUUAAUUCGAUGCAACGCGAAGAACCUUACCUGGCCUUGACAUACUAGAAACUUUCCAGAGAUGGAUUGGUGCCUUCGGGAAUCUAGAUACAGGUGCUGCAUGGCUGUCGUCAGCUCGUGUCGUGAGAUGUUGGGUUAAGUCCCGCAACGACCGCAACCC